GAUAUUAUUCAAUUGAGUGGUAAUUUUUGGAAUUUUGUUGUUAGGCUGGUGCUUCCGAGCAUGCAAGGACGCUUGGCCCAAAGGGGUCUGAUCCACACAAGGCAGCUGUGAUUGGUGACACCAUUGGAGACCCACUGAAGGACACCUCAGGCCCAUCGCUCAACAUCCUUAUCAAGCUCAUGGCAGUGGAGUCUCUCGUCUUUGCUCCCUUUUUUGCCACUCAUGGUGGGUUGCUUUUCAAGAUCUUCUGAGGAAUGGGAUGAUGAAAAAUACAUGGGCAAAGGGGUGAUUAGCCCUUUUUUCCCCAGUAUUUAUUGGGCACCUCUUACCAAUUCAUCUAAUCUCCAUAUCCAUCCAUCCCCACAUUGUGGGUUUUUCAAGUUGGUUUCUAUGUUUAGGGAAAUAUUAUUUUUGAAGGGCUGAUGAUGAUGAUGAUGAUAAUCAUGAUUGGUAAGGGAGGACAGGCAAAAUGGUUUUAACUGUCACAGAAGAGUCAGGAUGGUAGCGUGUUACUUUUCUUUAUACCUCUUUUUAGAACAGCUCUGUUCCUAAUUUCCUUGUAACCUUAUCCUUUUUUCCAUUAAAAGCAAGGAGAACAUGUUCAUCAAUUUUGGGUAUUUUGGCUGUCCAUUAGUGUGGAGCUUUGUAGUUUUUGUUUGGGUUAAAUGCGUGCAGGGCCUAGGUAGAUGGAAAAUGAUGCCGGUCUUUUUAACUCUUGGAUUUUAGCUUUAUCAUCUCCAAAUUUUAAAAAAAUAGAUAUAUAAGGUAUGUUUGUUAAAUGAUGUCUAACUGUUUUAUUAGUAGUUGAUUUUAGUGAAUUAUAACUUUUAUUAAUAGUUUAUUAAUAGUGAUUGAGACAGGCAUUGUUGACCUCUCUUUUUUUUCUUUUAUUUCCCAUUGCUUCAAUUCAUCCAAACGUAAAAUAGCCAAUUCCUACAGCUUUGGGAAUACUGUUGAUGAUGAUCCCAAAAACUCACUACCUAUGUAUUGCACACCAUACAUAAAGCAUAUAUCCAGCUUCUCAAGGACAGGCGGCUGCCCCAAAGGAGGCAAACAUGGACAUCUUAAGCAAGAGUCGAGGUAAAGUAUUUUCAGUUGAGCUAAUGAUGAACCCAUCAUCCAAUUGGGCCACUCUCUAUCACUAUAAUCGAAUAUACGUAGAGAUUUCAAGUUUGGAUGGGGUUGUAGAGCUUCAGCCACACCCUUGGUCCCCUCCUUUCUACCAAAUUCCAAAUCCAAACGUUGGAGGAUUCUUAUUCUUCAAUUCUGCUUUUUCUGCCUCCCCAGCAUCUUUCACUUCAUCCAACCCUUCAACGGAAAGACGUCCUCUUAGGUUGUUCAAGUUUCUCAGGUCUCCUAGUUGGCAUUCAUCAUUGCCAUGACUACUCACAAUGAAAACAUCCAGUGUCUGAAGAGAGCUUAAUCUUCCAAUUCCUUUUGGUAAGCCCUCUAGAGUACCAUAACUUUCAAGAUGCCUCAACUUUUUCUCCACUCCUCCCGUGAAACGCUAUGGUACUGAACAAUGACCGGCAUUGCUCAUUGGACAGUUCUCCUAAGGGUUGCUUGUACGUGGUUCCCAUGAUUGUAGAAACGUUUUCGUUUCGUGUGGUCACCAAAAUUCUACUUCCCGGUGCCCCACCCUUGAGAGAACUCUCUACUUGUUCCCACAAUUCAUAGUUUUCAGUCCAAACAUCGUAGCACAAGUAGGAACUUCUUAUCGGCAAUAAGUGUGCGAAUUUUUUGUUGUACAGCUUCCAGCUCAUGGAAACCAGAAGACUCUUUCUGGAGGGCUUUAAGAAUAGCUCUAGAAAUCCUCACUGGGUCAAAAGGAUCAGACACACAGACCCACACCCUUUGAUGGAAAUAGGCCUUCACCUUUUCGUGGUUGUAUGCUAAUUGAGCAAGAGUUGUUUUGCCGAUCCCUCCCAUCCCAACAAUGGAGAUGCUUUCUCGAGAACUCCCAACCAACAGCUUCUCUAUUAUAAUGCCAACAUUAUACAAUUAAGUACCCUUUGGAGUUUCCCAUUUUUUUUCUUUUAAAUUAGAAACUUUUAUAUAAAUAGAUAUCUGGUAUAAUAAAUAUAAAUUUACUUCAUAUUUUUUAAAUUCAUUUUAAAAAAUUUUAAAUUUUGAGAUAGUAAAUUUUCUUUAAUAUUUCAAUUUGUUAAAUUAUUUUUAAAUUAUCAGAGUUCUUAUAUCUUAUAUAAAGAAACUACUAUUUUCUAAUUUUAUAAAUAAAAAAAAAGCAUUUUAUAAAACUAAAAAGUGUAUCCAAACAAACACUAAGAGCCUGUUUGGUCAUUUGAUUUAAAAACAAUUUUUUGUUUUUAAAUAACAAAAAACUAUUUUUAAAAUUUUCUAACAUUGUUUUAUCGUUAUUCUCUGAAAACAUUUUUUAAAACAAAGUGAAAUAGAUAACAAUUUUUAGAAAACAAAUAAGAGUUGUUUUCACCAAUUUUUAAAAACAAAGGAAAACAUGAAUCCAUUUGAUCAUGUUUUCCGAAACUUGUAAUUAAAAAUUAUUUUUAAAUUAAAGAAUAAAAAACAGUUUUAAAAAAUAAGUUUCAGAAAACAUGGUCAAAGGACCUUAAGUGACUUGAUAAUACCUCACAUUUAUUAGGCAAAGCCCCCUCUAGGAGAAAAUUUUUGUUGGAAUCAUAACCAAGCAUUUGAAACCUUUGCAUUGAAAUUUCAAGAGCAUCCCACUUCAUCCAUUAGGUUAACAAUAGAUAUGUCCUUACAACAAAUCAGAAGAAACAUCAUGCAUGCAUGCAUGUAAGUUCCCAUCAUUCGCAAACCAUUUAUGUUGUAGGAAAUAAAUCCAAACAAUAAAGUUGAAGUUUACACAUUCUUACAUAUAUAGGCAAACCAAUGAAAGGGGAAAAGAAAAAGAGAAAAAAAAUUUACAAAUCACCAAUUUGAAAUUGAUUCAUAGACAACUUCACAAUACAUAGGUGUUGGGAAUUUUCUCCUCUUUAUUUGAACUUGCUUCUCUGAAACGAAAAACAAUAAAAUUAAGAUGGAAAAGAGAUAAGGAAAGUCAAGACAUAAAUAAAUAUCAAAGCUUGCAAGUAAAAAUGACAAAUAAUAAUAAUAAUAAAUGAUGCCUUUGGAUAUAAUUUUGAGACAAGAAUCAAGAUGGUCUUUAUUGAUAAGUUUUGAAAUUUUCUUUGCAAUAUUUUGAGCAAAUAAUCUAAUAGGUUAGGGUAUUAAAAUAUUAAUUAGUUAACAUUUAGAUCAUGUUUUUCAUUUGUUUCAUUUCUCAUUCAUUAUAUUUGAAAUAUUAUUUUUUGGAAUAAGAAAAGGAAUAAAAACUUCAUCACUAUGAAAAUUAAAUCUUACUCCUGUUGGAAUUUUGGUUUCUCUCUUGUAUGUAGUAAUAUGAUUCACCUUCGUACCUAUCUUAUUUUUUAUUCUCAUUCCCAUAAAUAGAAUUCAAAGAAACUAAGUUGUCUAAUCAAGAUAUCAAAGAUCAGCUUCACUUGGAAACACUUUUAGUUGUCUAAUUAAGAACCAUAAAGAAACUAAGGGGAAAAAAGUAGUAGGUAUUUUACACUAUAAAUAUCCUAUUUGAUAAUAUAUAACUUUCAUAAAAUUGAAUUUUAAUUAUCUUAUAUCCAAAUUCAAUUUAACAAAGUAUUAAAAAUAUAAAAACCAUUAUCAUAAUUUUAAUGAGUUUUUGUUAAUAUUUUAGAUAUUAAUUAAAUAUAUAGGAUUUUAAAUUUAAAAAUAAAAUUAUAAAUAUUUUAAAAAUCAUACAUAUGGAAUCAUUUCUUUUUUAUCAUUAAAUACAUCUAAAUUAUAUUUUUCUAUGAAAUAUAUUUUCAGUGUUAUAUAUUAUUAAUUUACUGUCGAAUAUUACAAAUUAUAUUAUACAUAGAUUAUUUAAGAAUAACAACUUAAAUAGAUGUAUUAUUUCUUGUUUUAUAAUCUUUUUUAAUUCUUUUCAAAAUAUCCAUCGAAGUCGAUAUAUUUUAUCCUUAACUUUUAAUAAAAUUUAACGGAGAUAUUAUAAGAAUGACUAACAAUCAAAGGGGAAUGUUAUAAACUUGUAGAAAUUUGUGAAUGUUACCAUCCUUGUAUUAAACCUUUCAACUAUUCAUAUAACCUUCAUAACUAUAAAAAAAUAUAUUAAUUUAGUCAUUAUGAUUAUAACCCUAUAAGUAGAAUUUGGGUUUUUAGAAAGAGAUAAUUUAGAGUUUACUUUUUCAGAAUUUCUGCUUUCAGUUCUUCGCUCUAUUUUCUUUAUUUUUACAAUUUAUAUAUAUACCCAUGGGCCUGAAACCUGAUCAAUCAUUGCGCCCAUACCACCAGAAAAGGGGAAACACUAGGCCCAUGGCCCAACAAAAGUCUACUCUAAGCCGAAAACCCCCAACUCCACCAGAAAAGAGGGAACACUAGGCCCAUGCCCAAGAAAAGUGUACCCUAAAAUGGAAUUUGAUAAUAUAUAACAUUAUAUAGUACAUAUAGAGUCUAAAGAUCACAUAAAAUCUCUUCUACACGGUUGUUGGAGGUAUUUGAUCAUGUAACAAAACACUUUUAGAAUAGAAAAGGUUUCAAGUUUUUUUGUACAAAAGGUUUUCAUUUUUAUUUCUCUUAUUUUGCAAGGUGUAGAUAUUAUAGGAUAAACACUUUAGUAACAGCGUAGAUGUGCCAAAAUGGACCUAUGGAUACAACAUAAUAAUGUUUUGCAAAAUGGAAAGCUUCAGAAAAAGAUUAUUCAUGAAAUACAUUAAUGUGUGCGAUUAUGGAUGCAAUGGAAAUGAAAACUAAGAUAAAUUCAAAUUACCUGUAACAAGAGCGACAUGAGGUGAAGCGUGAUGACCAUUCAGUCCCGUGAAUAUUCGACUUCGACUUCUGGGAUAUGAGAUAUUUUGUGUCGAUCCUCUCCGAUAUCCUUUCGAUAGCGUCGUUUCAGAAUAGGAGAACCUGCGAUGUCCAAUUUCUGCAAUGGUGUCCUCUGGAGCACGUGGUCCGGCAGUCCCUCCAGCUUUGGGCAGCCUCUCAUAAUCAAGUGAUUGAGACAUGGCAUUAUUGACCUCUCUUCUUUUUCUUUUAUUUCCCAUUGCUUCAAUUCAACCAAACCAGAAAUAGCCAAUUCCUUCAGCUUUGGGAAUACUGUUGAUGAUGAUCCCAAAAACUCACUACCUAUGUAUUUCACACCAUCCAUACCCCAUAUAUACAGCUUCUCAAGGACAGGCAGUUGCCCCAAAGGAGGCAAACAUGGACAUCUUUUACAAAACCAGAGGUGAAGUAUUUUCAGUUGAGCUAAUGAUGAACCCAUCAUCCAAUUGGGCCACUCUCUAUCACCAUAAUCGACUAUACCUAGGGAUUUCAAGUUUGGAUGGGGUUGUAGAGCUUCAGCCACACCCUUUGUCCCCUCCUUUUCACCAAAUUCCAAUGUCAAAUAUUGGAAGUGUACCCUAUUCUUCAAUUCUGCUUUUUCUGGCUCCCCAGCAUCUUUCACUUCAUCCAACCCUUCAACGGAAAGACGUCCUCUUAGGUUGUUCAAGUUUCUCAGGUCUCCUAUUUGGCAUUCAUCAUUGCCAUGACUACUCACGAUGAAAACAUCCAGUGUCUGAAGAGAGCUUAAUCUUCCAAUUCCUUUUGGCAAGCCCUUUAGACUCCGAGUAUAAUUUUCAAGAUGCCUCAAAUUAAUUAGUUUACCCAUUGCAUGUGGUAGUUUCUGAAGACUUGAACAUCCUUCAAUAUUUAAGGUUUGCAAAUUAUAUAAAUCACAAAUUGUUUCAGGCAACUCUCUCAAACUUUCACACCAUGAUAGAUUAAGGUAUCUUAAGUGUAUCAAUUUUCCUACCUCCUUAGGAAGUUCCUCAAUCCAAUCAUUGCUGCUCAAAUCCAAUGCCCUAAGACAUGUCAAAUUGCCUAAGGCUUCAAGAACUCUUGAAUCGAAUGCUUCCUUAGCCAAGAGGGUGUGAAGAUUCUUCAUGUUACAAGUGGAGGCGAAAUUAGGGGUACUCUCUCGGACAACUAAGGUGGCAUGACGAAUCUUUUGGAAGAAUAAGUCCAUACUCCCCUUUUUUUGGUUGUCAACCUCCACAAUAAAGCAUUCAUUCUGAGUCAAAAAUUGAGCAAAAUCAUGCACUAUAUCAUGCAUCUCACAACGUAUUAUAUUACCAUCAGUAUCUUUUUCAAAAUCUUGGAAGAAAGACCGAGCAGCUAAAUAUUCAAAGUACGUUCUCCCAACCAUCUCCAUCUCUUUUCUCCCAUCAGAUUUGAGAUAGCUUUGUGCCAUCCACAACUUGAUCAGCUCAGCUCUCACAAUAACCGAGUCUUUUGGAAAAACAGCACAAAAUGAGAAGCAGCGUUGAAUUGCAGGGGGCAGAUCAUAAUAACUCAACAACAAAGCAGGGGAAAUAUCUCUCUCAAACUCAUCUAGCUGCCAUACUUCACUAUUCAAUACGUUCUUCCAUUCUUCCUCGCUAUUUUUUAUGCGCAAGAGGUUCCCUAAAGUUUUUAUAGCGAGGGGCAAGCCCUUGCAUUUGUCUGCUAUUUUCUCACCAAUUUCUUUUAGUUCUUCCUCUUUCUCCCAACUACGCUUUUCAAAGAAAGCUAUUUGAUGGAAUAAUGCCCGAGAUUGCUCCAAAGACAGCUCCCCUAAGGAAUGCAUGUAUGUAGUUCCCAUCAUCUUAACAACACUCUCUUUACGUGUGGUCACUAGAAUUCUACUCCCUACAGCUCCGCUGGUGAGAGUGUUCCUCAGUUGUUCCCACAAUUGAUGGUUUUCGGUCCACACGUCAUCUAGCACAAGAAGGAACUUCUUUCCGGCAAUACAUGUUCGAAUUUCUUGUUGUACAGCUUCCAAAUCAUGGAGAUGACAAGGCCCUUUUUGGAGGGCCUCAACAAUAGCCCUACAAACUCUGAAUGGGUCAAAAGGAUCAGAAACACAGACCCAUAUUCUCUCAUCAAAAUGGGCCUUCACCUGUCGGUGGUUGUAGGCUAGUCGAGCAAGAGUUGUUUUGCCCAUGCCUCCCGUCCCAACUACGGAGACGAUGUGGAGGCCAGAUUUCUCUAGACACUUCUUACCCAACAAAUGGUCUAAUAUCAUUUUUUCAUCCAUAUCCCGACCGUACACCUCUGAAAUAUCAAUUGCAGAGGUAGUUAUAAGUCGCUGUGGUCGCUCCUCACUCCUACUAGAGACAAAAUUAAAAUCGGUCCGCUCACUUGCAACUUGCUUGAAACGGAUGAAAGGGGAGGGCAUACAGAAGCUUACCUUCGUCUUAGACGUGGAAGCAUUUUCAACUCCCUCCAUCUGGAAUUGAAAAAUAGCAAUGCUCCACUCAUCCAGCACGUCCAUCAUUUCGUAGGCCAUGUCUUUGAGCCUCUCCAACCAACCUUGGACAGAUUUUUCCUUCACUUUUCUCCUCUCGGCAUCUUCAAGAACAUCUCGGACGGAGAGGAGUGUGUUUUUGAGACUUUGAAUUUCGGAUUCAACACCCGAAGCCAGAGAAACUUGUUCAUGAAUCUGCUGUUCAACAACCGAAGUUAAGCGUUCCAGCACAAUAGAAACGAGGGUAUCAGCCAUGGGGAGGGUGAAGAAGGUGGGAUUGAUGAAUGAAGAGGAAUGGAGGAUGAAUAAAGGCCAGUGAGAUGAAGAGAUCAGAUCUGCAGCUUUGGAGGUCAACCCUUUUGGAGGCCGGUGGGGCCAGAGGGAUGCAAUAUCGAGGCUUUGGGAGCUACUUUAUUUGAAUUGUUGAGCUUUUUGGAGCUUUGCUUUAUACGGUUUGUAUUAUUUGAGGCUAGUGGGGCUUCUUUAUUUGAAUCAUCAAGGCUUGCUUGAUAUGCAUGAUUGAGGCUGGUGGGGUCAUUAAAUAAUCGUACAUAGCUUUGAAUCAAAAUCCAGAUAAAUUAAUCCCAUCAUCUGACUGAAUAUUCAGCAUAUUAAAAUAGCCUUCAUUCAAUUAUUAUGGCUCCUUACAAUUAAACUAAUUAGUAAUUAGCUUUAAAUGCUUUAAAUUUUAAAAGUUUUAGUUCAAGGACAAUUUUGAUAUUUAAGCCCAUUAUUGUCCUUUAAAAAUUAUGAAAAGAGACUAUCCUUCUCAAUAAUUAUUACAUCUAGCCCACCUUAUCCUAUAAUUUUUUUUUUUUUUUUUUGUUGCUUUUGGCUUAUUAAUGGUAAUCUUGGCAUUUAAAAAGAAGACCUUUAAGAAAUUAUGACAUUUUCAACCUACCCUUUACAACACUCACCCAGGUUAAUUUUUUUUACCCCGCCCACCCUAAAUGAUAAUUUUCCCUUUUUUUUUUCUCUUCUAAGAUUAAAGUUUCAAUAGAAAUUAAGAUUAAGAUUAUAAUUGAAAUUGAAGUCAAAACUAGGAUUAAUGUUAAAAUUGAAAAUUAAAGUUAUAAUUAUAAUGAAAAUUAAUUUUAAAAUUAAAAUUAAGACUAAGAUUAGUAAAGUCAAAAUUAAGACUAAAGUUAAACUUAAAGAUGAAAACAAGAUUAAAAUUACUAAAAUGAACAUAAAAAUUCAAUCAUACAAAUAAAAUUUUCUUUUCAUUUAUGAGAUUAAAAUAAAAAUCAAGAUCAAAACCAUCACAUAAAAAUUAGAAUUAACAUUAAAAUUAGAAUUUAAAUUGAAAUUAGAAUCAAAAUUAAAGUCAAAACUAAGAUUAAUGUCAAAAUUGAUAUUAAAAUUAAAAUUAAAAUGGAAAUUAAUAUAAAAAUUAAAAUUAAGUUUAAGAUGAGGAUUGAAAUUCAGGUCAAAACUAAUAUUAAAAUUAAAGUCAAAGUUAAGACUAAAGUUCAAGCUAAAGAUUAAAACUAGAAUUAAAAUUACUACAAUUAACAUUAAAAUUGACAUUGAAAUUAAGAUUACAAAUUCUAAUUAAACUAAAAUUAGAAUUAAGAUCAAAACUAAGAUUAAAGUUAAAAUUAAAAUUAAAAAUCAAAAUCAAAAUUAUCAAAGAAUAUAUAUAUUCUUUAAUUACCUAAAUAAUACAUAUUUAUUAUAGUUCUUAAUCUUAUUUAAUUUUAAUUAUUAUUUUUUUAUUAUAUAUAUGAAGUAAUAUAAAUAAAAAAUAUACUAAUAUAAGUUCCUCAAAUAAUAUAUAUUAUAUUAUUUCAUAGUAACUUUACUAUCAUCAAAACAUUAAUAACAUACUGUGGACCCCGCAUUUCGGCUCAAUGCGUUUCCCACUCGAAUGGCGAACUUGAUUUUUGUUUCUGAAAAAUGAUAUUUCUUGAUUAAGAAAAAUUGACUUGGAGUCGCCACUUAUUUUUGUUUUAUUUUUAAAGGGUAACAAAAUAAGAAAGAAAACCCUAAGUGUGACUCCUUGUUUUGGAAAAGGUGGUCUGUGAAAAACCUGAUCGGGCUCGGGGGUCAGGUUACUUAUCGGGAAGGUACGGUACGGACCAUAGCACCCCUCUAAGUCCCUAAAGUCGGGUCUCUACUAAUACAAUGAAACAGACGUGGCAAUCAACGAGAAAGUCAAUGGAUACUUACCUAAAUCAUACACAAUAUGGGAAUCAAAACACGCAAUAGAGAUUGACUAGAAUGAGAGUGGAUGCGUACCUCGGCCACGAGCCACAAUGCGCUAUCAAGAAACGGGAUUAGUGCACAAUUAAUGAAUACAAAAUAUAGCCCAUACAUAUCGAAGUGCAAAAUGAAGAUCAGACAAAAUACAUCAAGUGCAACAGUUGACAAUCGAAAGGGAUCAAACAUCGAGCCCCCACCAAGGCCCAAUUUAUGGUUCAUGAAUUAGUGUUACAAAUUUUGUGUUCUAGAAUUACGAAUAAUUUAUCUUUGCUUACGUAGAAUCAAGAAGAUCAGAAGAUUAUUUAAAAACCGAAAUGGAAUUAAAACUAUUCGAGUGAAAACAGGAUUCUUGGAAUUUAUUUGAAAAUUGGAGUCUUGGGAAUUAAAUUUAAAAGAUUAGAGCUCCGGUAAUUAAAUUGAAAUUUGUUAAAGAAAAUGAGAAACAGACUUUAGGAAAUAGAACUGCGAGACCAUGGACUUUUGAAAGUUGAAUUUGUAAUAAUAGUAAUAAUAAAAUUUUGAAAGUUUGAAUUAAUGAUAAUAAUAAUAAUAAGGUUUUGAAAGUGUGAAUUAAUAAUAAUAAUAAUAAUAAUAAUAAUAAUAAUAAGACUUUGAAAGGUUGAAUUAAUAAUAAUAACAAUAAGAUUUUGAAAGUUUAAAUUAAUAGUAAUAAUAAUAAUAAGAUUUGGAGAGUUCGAAAUAAUAAUAAUAAUAAUAAUAGGAUUUUGAAAGUUUGAAUUAAUAAUAAUAAUAAUAAUAAGAAAUGAACUUUGAGAAAUUAAACUGCGAGAAUAUAGAUUUUGAAAAUUGAAUUAAUAAUAAAAAUACUAAUAAUAAUAAGAAUAACGAGAUUUGGAAAAUUGAAUUAAUAAUAAUAACGACUAUGGUAAUAAUAAUAAUAAUAAUAAUAAUAAUAAUAAGGAUAAUAGUUAAUAAUAAGAUUUGGGAAAUUGAAUUAAUAAUAAUAAUAAUAACAAUAAGAUUUGGAAAAUUGAAUUAAUAAUAAUAAUGACUAUGGUAAUAAUAAUAAUAAUAGUAAUAGUAAUAAUAAUAAUAAUAGUUAAUGAGAAUAGUAAUAAUAAUAAUAGUAAUAAUAAUAAUUAAUAGUAAUAAUAAUAAUAAUAAUAAUAAUAAGGUUUUAAAAGUUGAAUUAAUAAUAAUAAUAAUAAUAAUAAUAAUAAUAAUAACAAUAAUAAUAAUAAUAGGAAAUUGAAUUUGAAUAUUUAAGUAACAAUAAUGUAAAUAGGCUUAGGACAAUGGUUAGGAAUGGGCUUAAGACAAUGGCUACUUAAAUUGAGCCCUUUAAUGGGCCUAAGGUGGGAAGAAGUUUCAAAGAAAACUAGUGGGCCUUGGGUGCAACUAACAGUGCAUUUAGAGGUGAUUCCAAAGUGGAGAAAGGCCUUUAAAUGGUAUUCACGGGCCUCCUGGCAGCCCAAAGAAGGCGCAACACGCACAUCACUCCUGCAAGCAAGCAAUUUCCGGCAACUCGUUCUUGGUGCUCCUAUUCCACGGCCCCCCUGAGUUGGAAGCUUAUUCCUGUCGACCCAGACAGCAACAAACGACGGACCACCAACAUCUGAGGUGGCUCAGAUCUCGGUCUUCGCCGUCGAAAAAAGAUAGCUGAUGUCCGCCAGAGCCAAAUCAUGAUCAGUCCCAUUCCUAGGCCCGCCAACAGGAAGAUCAUGCCUGCAAUGCUGGUUAGGAGCAGCGGCCGCCGUUCGAUCCUCUCGAAUAAGGAAGUGGCGAUAAGGAUGAAGCGGGUCUUGACGAAUCCGACGACGACGGUGGCGAGUAGCUGGUGUUCAGAAUUGAUGCAGCGGCGCCGAGCCCAAAGGUGGCUCCGACGAGGCUCGUGAGGAAGGAAACUGCUGCUUAGCUGCUGCCCAUUUUCCAGCCAUAGGAGAAAGCUCACACACGGAGAGGUUCGAGUGGUGACGGGUAUGAGGAUGUAGAGAGAGAAAUGGUGGUGAGGGGUAGGUUAGAAAAAUGGGUAUGAGAUGAGCUUUAGAGAAAGAGAGAGGGAGAGAUAGGUUGAAAUAUGGGUGUUAGAAGGUGGACAUGAUGGAUGAUGCGUGGGAACCAAGGUGCAUGGAGAAUAGCAUUACCAUGCAUGGCCAUGCAUGGCCAUGCGAAGGUGGAGGGAACGAACGUGGAGGGCACCUAAAAGAGGAUAGAUGGGUGGGGUGUGGUGUAGAGAGAGAGUGUAAUGGACGAAAGAUGAAAUGGGUUAAAGGGUCUGAAGAAGGUUUAGAGUGAGAAAAUGGGCUUAGUGGGGCGGUGCGAUGGGUAGAGUGGGUGGCAACGGGUAUAAAGAUAUUAGAGAGAGAAGUGGGUUGCUUCAGGCUUGUUUCAUGCAAGCUGGGAGGCACGUCACUCACAUUCUGGUCAACAUCCAGCCUAAACUUCCCAUGUAGAGUAUGCACUUCAUUCACAUCAUUUGUUCUUACUGACCCAAGAGAUUGGCCUGCCGAUGGCUGGUAUACGUGAAGCUUGUAGUUCCAUUGAAGACGGGAAGAGGGAAGCGCUGGUGGGACUGCUAAUGGUACUAAAACUGUGAGCGUGGGUAUCAAGAUCUUCUCUGCUAGCGCGACUGGGAGGAUGCUCAUGAUAGUCACUAUGUAGGACUUCAUCCCUGGAACUUGGAGCUCAUGAAAAAGACUCGGAUCUUGAUCUGGAAAAUUAUCUUCAGCGUAAGCUCGAACCAUUAAAUUCCGAGUAAUUAAGUCAGAUUCAGACAUUGUUGAAUAUUGCAUAGGCAUCACCAUGAGGACUACAACCUCUCAAGAAACAUUGAUAACUCCGAGAUGCGAUUUUAAUGUAGCGAUUUUCAUUCUCCUUCCAGCCUCACCCAAACUAACCAGAGAUUCACAGGUUUUAAAAUAAAAUAAAACGCGCGUGGAAGAAUGAGAAAACAGAGGGUAAAACAAUGCAAAUCUCAAGAAGCAAACAAAGAAUAUCCCAUGACAAUUAUAUUGAGCCUCAUUCCAAGUGUAAAUCCUUAGGCUAUGGGCCGUGGAAAAACGGAGAACACAAACACGAUUCGAAUGAACCCAUACGCAUGAUAUCUCCAAAUGAAAUCAAAGAACGAGAGAAUAGCAGAGCAAAACACGUUCGAGCAGUGAAUGAAAACUAAAACCCAUAAGGAAAAUGCAUGAAGGACAAAUGUGAUGAGAAAUAUGAUCAGAAAACUUACGAGGCUAGCACCUGGGAGGGCUUAUUCUCAAAAAAACAAAUCAGGAAACCCGUGGGUUUUUUCUUGCUCCUGCUACCCUGCUACCAUUCUUUCCAGACCUCCCCACUGCCCUCCUGCCCUCUGCCUCCUUUUCUUUAGCUUCUCCUCCAAGCCAUUUCUGUACCCCGUCCCAUCUGCCGUAAAAAAAAAACCUACCCAUCUCGUCCUAUGGCCGCCCUGUUUUGGCUGCCACCCCCAACUCAUUCUCGGGUUCUGAAGCCGAGAGAGAAAAAAGAAAAGCCAAAAGAAAAAGCAAUAAAAUAAUAAUCCCAAAAAAAAGGAAAAAAAACCUGCUACCGCUAUUGAGGGGGUCUACACAUACUAAUUAAUAAUUAAAUAGAUCAUAUAGCUAUUUAUCAUUGUUACUAAUAUUACAACUUAACAACAUUGUUCAACGAUAAAAUCACUCAAUUCAUUAGGAAAUAAUACAAUCAAUGAUGAAAGUUUUUUAAUCAAAGAAUAUGGAUAAAAAAUUAUAUUUUGUGAUGCAAUUUUAAUUUGCCUAUAAAUUUUCAUUGGAAAAAUCAUAUUUUCUUGUAGAAAUAAUACAAUCAAUGAUGAAAGUUUUUUAAUCAAAGAAAAUGGAUAAAAAAUUAUAUUUUGUGAUGCAAUUUUAAUUUGCCUAUAAAUUUUCAUUGGAAAAAUCAUAUUUUCUUGAAGUGUAGACAGUAGUAGCAAAAAAAAGUCACAUUUGUAACCACACCACUAUAAUUAUUAUUAUUUUUUAUAUUUUUUUUAUGGCCUAGUUGUUAUUAAAAAAAUUUUAAAAUAAUUAUUUUACCUUACUUUUAAUUUGGAACUUUAAUAUAACAACAAAGUGGUCACUUAUGGUUAAAAUUUUGAAUAAUGAAAUUAUUUUUUCAUCUCUCGACUUUCAAUCAAAUAUUUGUAUUUACAGUGGUCCACUACCCAACACUUUGUGACUAUAAAUUCCCCAAAUGUGUCAGCACCUUCACUCCGUUGUCUCGUUCGACUCUCUCUCUGCGCCUCUUCAAGAUGCUCUCCUUCCCUUCCUCAAAAUCUUGCCCAACUGCAAAACCAGUGUUUCCGAAUCUUCACUCAUAUCUCUCAGAUUCCUUUUCUGGAUCCCAAUCUUUCUCUUUCAACCCACAAACUGGAUUCAACCUCCACCCGAAAUCUCUCCAAAUCAGAGCCAUGGAGGCCUCCCUAGACUACCACUUUGGAACCCAAUUGCAAACCCAUAUCAAAACACCAACAAGCCUCAAAAUCGCAAUCAUUGGGUUCGACAACUUUGGCCAGUUUCUAGCAAAAACCUUCGUCAGCCAGGGCCACACCGUCCUCGCCCACUCUCGCUCUGACUACUCCGACACGGCUGCUAAGCUCGGCGUUUCCUUCUUUAGUGACCCGCACGACCUUUGCGACGAACACCCAGAAGUGGUGAUGCUAUGCACCUUGAUCAUUUCGACAAAAUCCGUGCUCAAAUCGAUCCCAUUUCAUAGACUACGGCGUAGGACGCUAUUUGUGGACGUUUUGUCGGUGAAAGAAUUUCCAAGAAGCUUAUUUCUCGAAAUCUUGCCUGAAGAGUUCGAUAUCCUCUGUACACACCCAAUGUUCGGUCCGGAGAGUGGCAAAAAUGGGUGGGUAGGCCUUACUUUUAUGUGCGAUAAGGUCAGAAUUGGAAACGAUGAUCCUAGAAUCUCAAGGUGUGGGAGAUUGUUGGAUGUUUUUGCAAGAGAAGGGUGCAAAAUGGUAGAGAUGAGCUGUGUGUUUAAUCAACCAUUAUAAAUCCAAGAACUCUACAUAAGAAUCUCAUGUUAAAUCAUAUAAAGAAAUGUGCCUGAACGUUUUAUGGAAUGCGAACAUACUGAAUCCAGACUAACCUGAGUUCAUUGUGGGUGUAGAUGAAUAAGGUAUGGAUCUUCUAAGGCUGUAGAGGGCUAUCCACCUUUUAGUAAUCUCUUUGAUGAUGGGAGCAAGAGAGAACGAGUUUUGUUCUUUAUUCAAAAGAUGUGAUCAUUUGAAGAACAGACACUUACCCUUUAUAUACCCUCCUGCCUUAGGGACCAUACCCUUUGGGUUAUUGGGCCUCACAAGUCUUAGCCCAUCAUCUAAGGCCUGUGAUGACAUUGGGCUCUACACAUAAGGUUACCCAUACUCUAGAUCAAUCAACAAUCAUAUAUAUAUAUAUAUGGAUAGCUAAAUCCUGAAUAAUGGUUAAUAUGAUGUGAGUCCACAUUUAUUCUAACAAUCUCCCACUUGGACCACAUAUAUUAGCCAACAAUGUUCAUGAUAAUACUUCAUUGAGCUCAUCUUUGCUAUCCUAUUCAAAUAUCCUUAAACAAUCUGGUCUACUAAUUAUGCUAACAUAGCAUCAAAGCGGCCUUCAUUAAUCACAAUUAUAACUAAACCCAUCAAUGAUCACAACAUUAACAAAAUUAGCAACAUGGAUCAAGUAUGGAUGUGUAGCAUGGAAAUUACAUAGAAUGUGAUAUUUAAUAUGUUUAUUUCCAAUUGGUCCUACUUUAUGACUAAAAAUAGUCAAAUUCCACUUUCAACACUUGAUGCUAAACUGCUUCUGAAAGUCAUCAUUUCAAUUAAGAGUAUUCAAAGACAGUAGUCUUUAAAAACAAGGUCUGUACAGAUAAUACAAACAUAAUAUCACAUCAAGAAAACAAACACAAAAUCUAAAUACAAACUCCCACUAUACUAGCACAUCAUCAAUGUGUACAACACCCAUAUGUGUGACAUGCUCAUGAUAUACUUUGGGUGGCAAACCCUUAGUGAGUGGAUCCACAAUCAUGGAGUUUGUGUGUGGACCCACAUUUUUCACGUGCGUCCCCACUCGAUCGGCGAGACUCGCUUUUUAUUUGUGAAAAAUUAAUUUUUGGAAAAAGUUGGAGUCACCACUUAUUUUAUUUUUAUUUUAAAGGGAAAAUAAAACAAGAAAGAAAAACCCUAAAAUGUGACUCCAUAAUUUUUGGAAAAAGCGUGUCUUUGAAAAACUCGAGUCUAAGUCUGGGGAUCAGGUUACCUAUUGGGAAGGUACCUUUAAAAGGUAGCACCCCUCUAAGCCCUAUAAAGGUCUCUACUAACUAAGUUGACGGAAAUAUGACAAUUAAUCGAUUGAUCAUAGAUACCGAAGUAGGUUAGGUGAUUUCAAAUAUUGCAUGCUUAAAAAGAGAACAAACCAUAAGAGAGAGUCGAAGUGCGUACCUGAACGACUUCUCAAGCGCUAUCAUGAAACAUAAGAGUUAGUGUAGAAAUCUAUCACACAACAUGUGUCUUAUCUGGGCUAAUCUAGUAUAUAUUUAAACACCUAAGAAUCACAUCAUGCAUGAAUAUAGUCACCAAUAGCAUACGUGUCCAUAGAAUUCUCGAAAAAAGGAUGAGAAGGAGCGUACCUGGAUAGCAAGCUAAAACGCCUUUACGGGAAGCAAGGUUAGCCCAAUAACAAAUAUAAAACAAAUUCAAGCAUAUCUCUAAGAGGAAUCAAAAUCAAUUAAAUACCAAACAAUCAUCUUUAAAAUCAAUAUUAGUGAAGAUAUCAAGAAUGUAGGACCACCCACCAAAGUCCAUAUUGCUUUUGCACGAAUUGAUUCAAUGAAUUCCAUUGUUUGGAAUCAUGAAGUUUGUUCAUGCUUAUUGAAAAUCGGUUGAAAAUCAAAUAAAAUAGUGAAAACGUGUGCCGGAAGGAAAAUGGCAGCAAAAGGGUGUUGAAAUCUGGAUUUUAUUGCCUAGAGAAGGUCUAAAGAUGAAUUUUUCAAAGUUGAGAAUGUUUAGUUGAACAAUGAUUCAAAAAUUCAAUUUAAAACAAUAAGUUCCCAAUCAAAGAAGCGAAUAGAGGAGAAGGUGGAACGUCGGCCGGAUAGAAUGGCGGCUGUGAGAUAUCCGGAGAGAGUAGGAUGUCGGCCGGAUAUAAUUGCGGCUGUGAGACAUCCGGAGAAAAUGAGAUGUCGGUCGGAUAGAAUGGCGGCUGUGAGACACCCGGAGAAAGUGGGAUGUUGGCCGGAUAGAAUUGCGGCUGUGAGACAUCCAGAGGGUAGGAUGUUGGCUGGAUAUAAUGACGGCUGUGAGAUAUCUGGAGAGAGUAGGAUGUUGGCCGGAUAGAAUGGCGGCUGUGAGACAUUAGGAGAAAGUGGGAUGUUGGCCGGAUAAAAUUGCGGCUGUGAGACAUCCGGAGAGGGUAGGAUGUCGGCCGGAUAGAAUGGCAGUUGUGAGAUAUCCAGAGAGAGUAGGAUGUUGGCCGGAUAGAAUUGCAGCUGUGAGACAUCCGGAGAAGGUAGGAUGUUGGCCGGAUAGAAUGGCUGCUGUGAGACAUCCGGGUGGAAUUGGUGAGAAUUUCCGUCCGGGUGGAAUGAGCGAUGCCAUAAACUAAGAACCCUCAAGAACUAUGGUAACCUCUGCAUCUGUUUAACUCCAAGAAAAACCGUUUUACACAACCUUUAUCAAGUUCCCAACUUUCUCAGAAUGCUCAUGGACUCCAUAUCCGAGAAUACCAAGGUAAAGAAAGGGAAGAAACGUAGAUACAGAAGCACGCAAAAAAGACCAAGAAAGAGAAGAAAAUAAAACAGGGGAAAAGAAGACAGUCGGUGGGUGUUUUAAAGCCAGAUUAGGACACAAAUGGGGGCAAGACCCAUAACAUCGAAUUCAAAGGUAAACUUAUAUUCAGAUUGCUUUCGGAUGGAACCAAAGACAUUAAAAGGAAUAUUAAAAUAGCAUAAAUAUGCAAGCAAACUAGUCUCAACUAAUCAAAUUGUGGCCCUUGCGUCCACACCAAAUGACAAGAAUGAAUCUUCAGAAAACUAAGAAGUCAGGAAAGAUUGAAACUGAAUGGUGAAAUAGCAAAAAUCUGGAAACAUACAUGCGCGUUCUCCUCUCCAAUUGCUUGGUUCCAAGCUACUGUACCUUUUCUCGACUGAGAAAUCUGCUCUCAAACCUUUUUCCGUCCACCAAUCUUCUCCCUUCCUAUACGUAUUUCAAGUCCCUCUCUUCUAUGCCUCCUUUCCGACGAUCCUCUCAUGCACCCCCUGUUCUUUUCCUUUUCUUCUUAUAUUCGUAUCAGCCUCUCAAACUCAAUAUGUUCAAGAGAAUCCACUUUCCUUUCUUCUAUUUCCCUUCCUUUUUCAAAAAUCAGAAUGCUCUCUCUCCUCUCAUGCAAGAUAUUCUCUUACCAUAUGUAUGCAGCCACGUUAAUUCAUUUUUCCUCAUAAAAUAUUUCUCUUACCUUUUUGAGCGCACGUGCCUUAGUGAGAGUUGAAUAGCAGCCCAUAUUCUUUUAUCAAACAAUAGAAAAACAAAAAUAGAGAGAAUAAAAACAAAAAGAGUUAGCAAUCUUGCAAACUAUCAAAUAUUAAAAUAAAAUAAAAAUAAAUAAAGUAAAACAAAAUAGUUGAAUAAAAUAGUCAAUCCUAUGCGGGCCAUGCAAGUCACACAAAAAGUGAGUCUAAAAGUGCUUACUGGGCCAAGUGUGUCUAAAUGGGUUUAGAGCGGUGUCUAAUGGGCCAAGUGUACCUAAAAGCUAUCCUAAAAAUGAACGAAAAAAAGCCUAAGUCUAAAUUAGGGCUGUCAAGAGUCACAAUAAGGGGUCAGAUAAUCUCUCAACCAAAAUCUCCGAGGUGACUCAGAAAAAGGUAAGUUGUACGAGUAGUAAUGGGCCACCAAGGAGUUAUUAUGGAGCAUUAAAAAUGAAUUUAAAGACAUGUGCUAAAGGGACAAAAUUGAGGGUGUACAUUGUGCUUAUGUGUUCAAUUGAUACUUGAAGACUUUGAACUCUUUCUUUCACAACCAAGAACUUGAUGUCAAUGUGUUUAGAUUUUGACGAACUUCGGUUGUUCUUAGAAUAUAAUUUUACAGCCUUAUUAUCACAGUUGAUUCUCAAUGGUUUCUCAAUCCCAUCAAUAAUUCACAACUGAGUGAUAAAAUUCCGCAGCCAUAUCCCAUGGUUUGAUGCCUCGUAGCAGACUAUGAAUUCUACCUAACAUUCCAACAAUGUACGCAAUAUACAGACGCAUAUAAACUUGUGCAUACAUGAGACUUCCUACUGUUGAGGCAUAGGGAAACCUCUCCAUAUCCUUUUUCUCAAGUUCAUUUUUCGGACAUUGCUGCAAACUAAAUUUAUCGCCUUUUGCCACAAGCGUGUCUCCUGGUGCACAAUUGCUCAUGCCAAACCUUCUUAACACCUUAUCGAUGAUCGCCUUUCAUUGAUUUCAUCUCAUCCUUCAUGGCUUCUAUCCACUUUUUAGAGUCAGAACUUUGUUUGACUUGACUAACUGAAAUUGGAUCAUCUUCCAGACCCAUGUGAAACUCAUAUUCCUGGAGAUAUAUAACAUAAUCAUCUGAAAUUGUACUUCUCCUUUCUCUAGUGGAUCUCCUCAGUGGCACUUGUACUUGAGGUUCUUGAGGUUGUUGAGUUACCUCUUCAUGAACUUGAAUUGGUUCCAUAACUUGAGUAGGAGGAAUCCCAGGUGUGUCUACAAUCUCUGUUAUUGGUUGUACAUUCUGGAUAGUGUCAUCAAUCAUAAUAUGACCAUGUCCAGUUGUAAUAAUAGGAAUACUACCAGAUUCCUCUUCAAAGACCACCUUUCUUAAUGAUUCUCUCCCACUUAACUCAACAUCCUCAAUAAACUUAGCAUUGCCCAUUUUAAAGAAGGAUCUAGUUGAGGGGUCAUAAAUAAAUAUCAUGCAUAUAUGAAUAAAUAAAAAUUUAAACAUAUAUAUAUAUAUAUGCAUGUGAGCCUAUUACAAGAUACCUAGCACAAACAUUAAUAUUCAGUAUUUGGAAAAAAAUAUCAGUUUGUAAUUGUUAUCCUUUGACAAAAUUAAUUCAUAAAUAUUGACAAUAAAACCGAAGCAAUAUGCCUAUCUUUGGACUGACAUACAACAAGUAAGAUAAACUUUAUAUGUCACAUAUUUAUGACUACUUUAUUUAUUAUUAUAUUAAAAUAAUCUUCAUUUGGGCCGAUUAUUUUAAAUAAUAAUAAUAAUAAUAACAUGUUUAGAUAUUAUAAAAUAAAUAAAUUAUGUAAUAUAAGUUACUUUGGCAACUAAUAUACAUUCAUUUAUUUUAAAAAAAAAAUAUUAAACACAAAUGGAGCAUAAAAUGAUGGGAAAAUUUUCCGAUCCAUCUUAUAUAAAUUAAAAACUGAGGGUCCAAGGUUGGACUGCAAAAGAAGGUGGUCCACCAUCUCCCUAAAAUUCUUGUGCAUGCAGCACCAGCUUGGUAGCAACAUGGCUUCUUUUAAUAGAUUAUCAAAUAGUCAAAAUGUUUACCAAAUAUGCAAUUUAAACAAAAAAUAUACUUUAAUAGGGACUUUACAGCCUGAAACUUUCGCAUCCCUCAAAAGGGCAAUCCCCAAUCCCUUCUUCUAUGGUGUCCAGAAAUGAUCCAACUAGGACUUAAAAAAAAAAAAAAAACAUUCACCCUCCACCAAGUAGCCUUCACAUAGACUAAGGAUCAACGGAAUUUUAUCAAGGAUUAACAAACCUUUAUAACUGAAAGUUCAUUGGUGGCAGAAUCCAAAUUGUCACCCUGCCUGAGUUUAGAUACCAUAUAAUAAUUUGGUACCCAUGCAUCAUAAACAUGGAUGCACAAUAACCAUUUUUAUAGCUAUCAAGGUAUAUAUGACAAUAAACAUGUGCAUAAAUAGACACAACUCAAUAUGGGAAAUAUGAAGUGAACCUGGGCAUAUUAAUUAAUAAUUUUUAUUUUUAUUUGUUAUAUUUUUAUUAUUUUAUUUUAUUUUUAUUUUUUAUCUUAUCUCAUCUUAUGUAGCCCCAAACAACCCAAGGUCGUUUGCAACCACGUCACUCUUGGAGCGGCACCAGUAGCGGUGCCGGAGUUGUCCUCGAGCCACCGAUGGCGAAACGUUGUCGCCAUCACCGGAAUGGUGAUUUCCCAUUUCCAAACGACGGCGCCACCACCGGAAUGACAUUGUAACGGCAUUGCUGGCAAGCAGCCCUACCUGUGGCGCGACGCCGUGAUGAGCAGAUGGCGUUUGGAGUGCCUGAAAGACGCCUUAACGGUGUCUUAACGAGGCUUGGAAACGACGCUGCAAACGGCGCCUGGUAUGGCGCCUGAAACGUGCUUUGAAUGGCGCCUGAAGUGGCCUUGAAUGCGCAACCAACUGGUGCAGUGAAGCGCGCCUUGAAUAGCGCUUGAACAGCGCCUGGUAUGGUGCCUAAAGUGCAUUUGAAACGACGCUCUUCACCGACAUCGGAUGACCCUUGAAUGACGUCUUAAACUCCUGUAAGGAGGCCUGCAACAACGCCUUCAAUACAUUAUAUAUAUAUAUACUACAGCCCAAAAGACCUAAGGUCCCCUGUAACCGAAUCAUGCGUAGCACCAAAAUGGCAUUGGUAGGUGCAACUCCGCCAAACGACGUCGCCGAUAGGGGAUGACGCCAAAAUGGCGUCUUCACUGCGUUUUGAUUGGAAGUGACGCCAAACGGCAUCUUCGACUGAAGUGACGCCAAAUGGCAUCUGGAAAUGACGCCUAUACGGUGCUUGUAACGGCGUCUAGAACGGCGCCUGUAACGGCGUCUAGAACGGCGCCUGUAACGGCGUCUAGAACGGCGCCUGUAACGGCGUCUAGAACGGCGCCUGUAACGGCGUCUAGAACGGCGCCUGUAACGGCGUCUAGAACGACGCCUGUAACGGCGUCAUUGGAAUGCUUGAAAACGACGUCUCUUGAAUGCCUGAAACGACACCAAACGACACCUUUUUCGAGCACCAGACAGGCGCCAAAACGACGCCCCUCACUGGUGUUGCAAGCAUCACCCCCAUCACUGGUAGUGGCGCCCAGAUGAUGCCAUUUUCGCGCUGAGGUUCAUCUUUAUCCUUGCUGACCACAGCGCUAUUCCCUGCUCUCCUGAAACCCGAAUCACCACCCUCCCUAAUGGCCUCCGAAUCGCCACAGAAUUUCACCUCCUAGGUCGUGCCGCGGUUGUUAGUGUCUGGAUCUACUCCAGAAGCCGCUUCGAGAGCGACGCCACCAACGACAUGGCUCAUUUUCUGGAACGUAUGGUGUUCGAGGGCACAGAAAAGAGGCCGGCUGAGGGUUUUGGUGAAGGAAAUUGAGAGCAUGGCAAUCCCUUGAUGAUUUAAAAAAUCGCAAUUUCUUAAUGAUUUUAACAUGCUGCUCUGAUACCAAUUGUUUAAUCAACCAUUAUAAAUCCAAGAACUCUACAUAGGAAUCUCAUGUUAAAUCAUAUAAAGAAAUGUGCCUGAAUGUUUUAUGGAAUGCGAACAUACUGAAUCCAGACUAACCUGAGUCCAUUGCUAAGGCUGUAGAGGGCUAUCCACCUUCCAAUAAUCUCUCUGACGAUGGAAGCGAGAGAGAACGGGUUUUGUUUUUUAUUCAAAAGAUGUGAUCAUCUGAAGAACAAACACUUAGCCUUUAUGUACCCUCUUGCCUUAGGGACCAUACCUUUUGGGUUAUUGGGCCUCACGAGUCUUAAGCCCAUCAUCUAAGGCCCGUGAUGGCAUUAGACUCUACACAUAAGGUGGCCCAUACGCUAGAUCAAUCAGCAAUCAUAUAUAUAUAUAUAUAUAUAUAUAUAUAUAUACGGAUAGCUAAAUCCUGAAUAAUGGUUAAUAUGAUGUGGAUCCACAUUUAUUUUAACACUGUACAGAUCACGACAAGUACUCAGCGGAGUCUCAGUUCAUAACCCACACAAUGGGGAGGGUUUUAGCGAGGUUCGGGUUAUAAUCAAGCUCCAUUAACACCAAAGGGUAUGAAACAUUGCUAAAAUUGGUGGAGAACACAGCGAAUGACAACUUUGAUUUGUACUAUGGGUUGUCCAUGUACAAUAAUAAUGCCAUGGAGCAGCUGGAGAAGUUGGAGUUGGUCUUUCAGUCUCUUAAGAGGGAACUUUUUGGGAAUUUGCAGUCUCUUUAUGGAAGGAAGUUGUUUGAAGGAGAGUGAGAGGAGAGAGACCUGGCGCAAAAGCUGCUCCUUAAUAGUGUUUUGGAUUCUUGGAAACUUACAACUCUUUAGUUGGUUUGUUUAUCAUCUGGAGGAGUGCAAAUGCAAUAGAAUUAUUGAAAAUCAAAUUUCAUUCUUAUGAUUUAUCAUUUGUUUUUACUCUAAUGGCUUGGCAUGAGAGAAUUAGUAAUUUUUAAUUAACAAUGAAUUGGUAAUUGGUUUGAGAGAUUUCAAGAAGAAAAUUGGUAAAUUUUUUUUUUGUUUAAAUAAUAUAAAAAAUAUAAGGAAAGAAAAUAUUUAGGUUAUAUUUAAGAAAUAAUUGAUAAAAAAAAUGAAAUAGUCCUCAUAUUUAUGAAUUUGUCCCUUAUGUUUUUGUUCGGAGAGUAACCAAUUUUUGACAGAAGUGUUCUUAACCCUUUCAAGUUUUAAUAAUAUAUUAUAAAAUAUUAUUUUUACAAAUAAAAUAAAAUAAAAUAAUAAUGACAUUUUUAUCGACAGGAGGGCAAAAAAAGGAUGAAGUGUUGAUUUUUAAAAUUGAGUUUGUAAUGACCAUUUUAAGAAAAUAAUCUUAUAUUUAAAUUGAGUUUCCAAGAACUUUUUAUUUUUUAAGUAUUAAAAAUACUGAACACUUUUUAUAAUAAUUGCUAAACACAUUUUUAAUUUAAAAAAAUAAGAGGAAAGAAAAUAAAAAGGAAAAAUAUAAAAAAAAGAAAAGAUUUCAAGCCAAUAAUUUUUUUUUUUUUUUUAGACUAAGACUAAGACUUUUUUUAGAAAGAUAUCAAAAUAUAACAUUCACCUUCUUCAUUUGUUAAUGUUGUAAAAGGCAAAGUUAUUAUUAAAAUAACUUAAGAAAAAAAAAAACCCUACCUUUCUCCUCCAUUAAUUUAUUCGAUAUGGGUACAAAUGCUCCACUCACAUGCCCUCUUGUAAGACCUUAGAAAGCUAAGAUUAGUGGCUUAUUCAUUGUUCUCCCUUUCCUCUUCUAAAGAGACAGUAGAACAUUAAUCUAUAUAUAUAAUAUGGUAUAUUGUACAACUUUUAAAAUUAAUUAUUAUAAAGACAUAUUAAAAAUAACAUUUGAGAUGAGGAUAAUUCAAUAUGAUAAUAUUUUUUUUGAGCUAAUAAGAGAAAUAUGUAUAACCCUAUGGGAUACAAUUAUAUAUUAGUAUGGUAAAAUCGUUCAAAUUAAUUUUUAAAUUGAAUUAAAUAUAUAACCUCCUUAACAUGGCAAUUUUUUUUUUUUUUUUUUUACUUUUAUAAUGAACUUUUCUAUAUAUUCAAACCUAUUUUGCAUAUAACAGUUAAAUUACUUCACUUCUAAACAAUUAGGAUAUUCGAUUUUAUUAGAUGAGAAAUAGGUAUCUUAGGAUAUAAUUUUAAAUAAGAUAUAAUAUCCUUAUAUAUUAAAUUUAAUGAAUGUUAUAUCUAAGAUAACAUAUUUAAUAAAAUAUGUUAUAUUAUGUUUAUAUUUAGUUUACAAAAUAAAUAAAAAAACAAAGUAAAGCAUAUAUUAUUUUAAAUAUUUAAAAUGAAAAUUAUAUUGCAUUUCAAUAUUUUCUAUUUUAGAAAAAAUGAAAAUUUGUUUCAAUAUUUAUGAUUAAAACAUUUAAACUUUGUAAAUAAAAGUUUUUUUAUUAUGUUAUUCAAUAUAUAUAUAUAUAUAUAUAUAUAUAUAUAUAUAUAUAUAAUAUUAAUAUUAUUUUAUAAAUAUUGUUCAGUUCUUAUUUUUUAAUCAUAAAUUUAAUUUUAUACUAAUUUUUAUUUUAUUUUAUUUUGCAAGAUCAUUAAUAUAAAAAAAAUAAAAAUUAAGAAAUAAAUUUAUGAUAUAAGAGAUAUGUAUAUUCUACAUUUUAAGUUUGGAUUAAAAUAUCAUAUGUAGUUUGGCACAUGGGCACAAAAGGCGACUAGUAGUUGAUUGCUUCCCUUCGUAUGAUCAAAAUCUCUAAAAAUCCUAUUGUUCCACCAAAUAGAUGUAUGCUCGUUUGCUAUCAAAUGGAAAAGGAAAACCUAUGGUAUAUGAAUCUGGAUAUUGUCCACAAAGGAAAACCUUAGGUUGUCCAAGUUUCUCAGGUCUCCUAUUUGGCAUUCAUCAUUAUGAUCAAAAUCUAGAUAUUGCUAUCGAAUAAAAGAAACAGCUUAUCAUCUCCACUGUUCUUAUGACUCUGGGAGUUGCAAUUGUUAGUUGGAUUGCCCUUCCAUCAUCCUUCACAAUCUUCAAUUUUGGCUCUCAGAAAGUUGUGAAGAAUUGGUAAGGUUUACAUUGUUAAUUCCUUGGAAAAAAUGGAUAUACAUCUACUAACUCAAUUUGGGUUUGCAGGCAGCUGUUCUUGUGUGUGGGUGUUGGUCUUUGGGCUGGACUUAUUAUUGGGUUUGUAACUGAGUAUUACACUAGCAAUGCAUACAGGUAUCUAUAAUCUCACUGAAUUCCUGCCUUGUUAUAGUCUUCAGCUUUCCUACUCUGAUUCUUGUGUUUCUUUUAUUUGCAGCCCUGUGCAAGAUGUGGCUGAUUCCUACAGGACUGGAACUGCCACAAAUGUCAUCUUUGGCCUUGCUUUGGGAUACAAAUCUGUCAUCAUUCCUAUUUUUGCUAUUGCAGUUAGUAUUUUUGUUAGUUUCAGUUUUGCUGCCAUGUAUGGCAUUGCAGUGGCAGCCCCAGGAAUGCUGAGUACCAUUGCUACUGGGCUUGCUAUUGAUGCUUAUGGUCCCAUCAGUGACAAUGCGGGAGGAAUUGCUGAGAUGGCUGGCAUGAGCCACAGAAUCCGAGAGAGAACUGAUGCACUUGAUGCCGCAGGCAACACCACUGCUGCCAUUGGGAAGGUAAAUCACAUCUGUAGGUUGGUUCUAAUGUUGUCAUUGAAAAGUGUCUUAUCAUCACAUGCAUUAUGCAAGGUACAAAUCCAUGAAGGGUAAGUAUCCUUAGACGAAAGGCUCAUCCUAUCAUGCAUAUGGCUUUUGACUAGGCCUAUAAAUUGAUGAAACUCAAUUUUUGAAUUUGGAAUAAAAUAUCUCAGUAUAAAUUUUCAGAGUGUGUAGAGGCGUUGUAGUUCAUUUUUGUGUUAAACUAAUGCCACUCCUAUGAGCAGUAAGCCAGAAGGUUCUAUUCACAACUUGUAAGUGGUGAGCUGCCUGUUGGUUAUCUUAACUAAUGUGAAGCAAACUCAGUCCGUACAAUGCAGCUUUGCUGUGUAAUUUGUUAUUGAAAUCUAAUUGUGCACAUUUCUUUUAGCUUCACUUAGCUGUUUGUAACUUCAUUUUUUAUGUUUGAUUUACAUUUGUUCUCAGGGAUUUGCAAUUGGAUCUGCGGCACUCGUGUCUUUGGCACUGUUUGGUGCCUUUGUAAGUCGUGCAUCGAUCUCAACUGUUGAUGUCUUGACUCCAAAGGUCUUCAUUGGUUUGCUUGUUGGUGCAAUGCUUCCUUACUGGUUCUCAGCCAUGACCAUGAAGAGUGUGGGACGUGCAGCUCUUAAGAUGGUUGAGGAGGUUCGCAGACAGUUCAACACCAUUCCAGGUCUGAUGGAGGGCCUUGCCAAGCCUGAUUAUGCCACUUGUGUCAAGAUCUCUACUGAUGCAUCCAUUAAGGAGAUGAUUCCACCUGGUGCCCUUGUCAUGCUCACACCCCUUAUCGUUGGGACCUUCUUUGGCGUGGAGACUCUAUCUGGAGUACUAGCUGGCUCCCUUGUUUCUGGUGUCCAGGUAAUAUCAUGAUCAUUAAAUGUAUAAUUGGAAUUUCAUGGUUUCUGAUCUAUUAAAAAAAAACAAGCAGUUUAUCUUAAAAAUAUCAUGAAUUAUGCGAAGAAAAGUCAGGGUUGAAUUUAAGUUAGUGAAAUUUGGGAACAAAAUCUUGUUAGGUGUGUUUAGCAAUAUAGACAUGCAUGAGUAGUCAGAGACUUCGCAAAGAAACAAAAUGCUUAUCUGAAGUACUUUCUGGGAGCUUUGUUUUUGGCUGUUAAUUGAAAUUUUAUUUUCUGAUUUGCUCUUUUGGAUGUGUGCUUUUAACAGAUAGCAAUCUCUGCUUCUAACACUGGCGGUGCAUGGGAUAAUGCCAAGAAGUACAUUGAGGUAAGCAUACGGUGAAGUGAGGCUAUAGGUGGUUUCCUCUCUUGGCCCAUGUUUACUGUUAUUAUUGCUUUGACGAUAUUAUUCCAUUGAGUGGUAAUUUUUGGAAUUUUGUUGUUAGGCUGGUGCUUCCGAGCAUGCAAGGACCCUUGGCCCAAAGGGGUCUGAUCCACACAAGGCAGCUGUGAUUGGUGACACCAUUGGAGACCCACUGAAGGACACCUCAGGCCCAUCGCUCAACAUCCUUAUCAAGCUCAUGGCAGUGGAGUCUCUCGUCUUUGCUCCCUUUUUUGCCACUCAUGGUGGGUUGCUUUUCAAGAUCUUCUGAGGAAUGGGAUGAUGAAAAAUACAUGGGCAAAGGGGUGAUUAGCCCUUUUUUCCCCAGUAUUUAUUCGGCACAUCUCUCACCAAUUCAUCUAAUCUCCAUAUCCAUCCAUCCCCACAUUGUGAGUUUUUCAAGUUAGUUUCUAUGUUUAGGGAAAUAUUAUUUUUGAAGGG
rnacentral:lncRNA from 1 species